AACUGAUACUACCUGCGGGAACCUGCGGAAGGAUCAUUACCGAGUGCGGGCCCUCUGGGUCCAACCUCCCAUCCGUGUCUCUUGUACCCUGUUGCUUCGGCGGGCCCGCCUUCAUGGCCGCCGGGGGGCUUCUGCCCCCGGGCCCGCGCCCGCCGGAGACUCCAACAUUGAACACUGUCUGAAGGUUGCAGUCUGAGUUUUCAUAUAAGAAAAAUCGUUAAAACUUUCAGCAACGGAUCU
rnacentral:misc_RNA from 1 species